ACGAACGCUGGCGGCGUGCUUAACACAUGCCAGUCGAACGGUGAAGCGCCUUCCUUUUUGGUGGGUGUGGAUGAGUGGCGAACGGGUGAGUAACACGUGAGUAACCUGCCCCCUUCUUCUGGAUAACCGCAUGAAAGUGUGGCUAAUACGGGAUAUUCUGGGUCUGUCGCAUGAUGGGUCUGGGAAAGAUAUUGUUUCGGUGGGGGAUGGGCUCGCGGCCUAUCAGCUUGUUGGUGGGGUGAUGGCCUACCAAGGCGGUGACGGGUAGCCGGCCUGAGAGGGUGGACGGUCCCACUGGGACUGAGACACGGCCCAGACUCCUACGGGAGGCAGCAGUGGGGAAUAUUGCACAAUGGGCGCAAGCCUGAUGCAGCGACGCCGCGUGAGGGAUGGAGGCCUGCGGGUUGUGAACCUCUUUCGCCAGUGAAGCAGGCCUGCCUCGUUUGUGGGUGGGUUGACGGUAGCUGGAUAAGAAGCGCCGGCCAACUACGUG
rnacentral:rRNA from 1 species